rnacentral:rRNA from 1 species
GAUGAACGCUGGCGGCGUGCUUAAUACAUGCAAGUCGAGCGAACAGAUCAUGCUCUUGCUCCUCUGACGUUAGCGGCGGACGGGUGAGUAACACGUGAAUAACCUUCCUAUAAGACUUGAAUAACGUCGGGAAACCGGAGCUAAUACCGGAUAAUAUAUUUAACCUCAUGGUUCAAUAGUUAAAUACGUUUUUGCUGUCACCUAUAGCUGGAUCCUCGCUGCAUUAGCUAUUUGGUAAGGUAACGGCUUACCAAGGCAACGAUGCGUAGCCGACCUGAGAGGGUGAACGGCCACUCUGGAACUGGAACACGGUACUGAGGCCUAGGGGAGGCAGCAGUAUGGAAUCGACGGAAAUGGGCGAAAGACUGCCGAAGCAACGCAGGGUGGGUGAAGAGAGUCUUCGGAUCGUAAAACUCUGUUAGUAGGGAAGAACAAAUGUGUAAGUAACUAUGCACGUCUUGACGGUACCUAGUCAGAAAGCCACGGCUAACUACGUG